UCUCCCUGUAUUUACAGGGUCUCUCCAAUGCACACAGAAGCUUCAGUUACUUCAGAGAUCAGCUGCCUCCAGAAAAAAAGAUCUUGCAUCGAUAGACAGAGCAGAAGAGACAACUGGUCAGAUUGGCCAUGGCAGUAUCUACGGCCGUCUUUGUCAGUUGAGGGCAUCGCUCCCUGCCCGGCCAAGGAACUUGACAACAUCACUUCUCAGGUCUCUCCAAUGCACACAGAAGCUUCAGUUACUUCAGAGAUCAGCUGCCUCCACAAAAAAGAUCUUGCGUCGAUAGACAGAGCAGAAGAGACAACUGCUCAGAUUGGCCAUGGCAGUAUCUACGGGCAUCUUUGUCAGUUGAGGGCAUCGCUCUCUGCCCCGCCAAGGAACUUGACAACAUCACUUCUCAGGUCUCUCCAAUGCACACAGAAGCUUCAGUUACUUCAGAGAUCAGCUGCCUCCACAAAAAAGAUCUUGCGUCGAUAGACAGAGCAGAAGAGACAACAGCUCAGAUUGGCCAUGGCAGUAUCUAUGGGCAUCUUUGUCAGUUGAGGGCAUCGCUCCCUGCCCGGCCAAGGAACUUGACAACAUCACUUCUCAGGUCUCUCCAGUGUGCACAGAGCUUAAGUUACGUUGAGAGUAUCUGCCUACACAAAAAGGAUCUCAGGGUCUCUCCAAUGCACACAGAAGCUUCAGUUACUUCAGAGAUCAGCUGCCCCCACAAAAAAGAUCUUGCGUCGAUAGACAGAGCAGAAGAGACAACUGCUCAGAUUGGCCAUGGCAGUAUCUACGGGCAUCUUUGUCAGUUGAGGGCAUCGCUCCCUGCCCGGCCAAGGAACUUGACAACAUCACUUCUCAGGUCUCUCCAAUGCACACAGAAGCUUCAGUUACUUCAGAGAUCAGCUGCCUCCACAAAAAAGAUCUUGCGUCGAUAGACAGAGCAGAAGAGACAACUGCUCAGAUUGGCCAUGGCAGUAUCUACGGGCAUCUUUGUCAGUUGAGGGCAUCGCUCCCUGCCCGGCCAAGGAACUUGACAACAUCACUUCUCAGGUCUCUCCAAUGCACACAGAAGCUUCAGUUACUUCAGAGAUCAGCUGCCUCCACAAAAAAGAUCUUGCAUCGAUAGACAGAGCAGAAGAGACAACUGCUCAGAUUGGCCAUGGCAGUAUCUACGGGCAUCUUUGUCAUUUGAAGGCAUCGCUCCCUGCCCGGCCAAGGAACUUGACAACAUCACUUCUCAGGUCUCUCCAAUGCACACAGAAGCUUCAGUUACUUCAGAGAUCAGCUGCCUCCACAAAAAAGAUCUUGCGUCGAUAGACAGAGCAGAAGAGACAACUGCUCAGAUUGGCCAUGGCAGUAUCUACGGGCAUCUUUGUCAGUUGAGGGCAUCGCUCCCUGCCCGGCCAAGGAACUUGACAACAUCACUUCUCAGGUCUCUCCAGUGUGCACAGAGCUUAAGUUACGUCGAGAGUAUCUGCCUACACAAAAAGGAUCUCAGGGUCUCUCCAAUGCACACAGAAGCUUCAGUUACUUCAGAGAUCAGCUGCCUCCACAAAAAAGAUCUUGCGUCGAUAGACAGAGCAGAAGAGACAACUGCUCAGAUUGGCCAUGGCAGUAUCUACGGGCAUCUUUGUCAGUUGAAGGCAUCGCUCCCUGCCCGGCCAAGGAACUUGACAACAUCACUUCUCAGGUCUCUCCAGUGUGCACAGAAGCUUCAGUUACUUCAGAUAGCAGCUGCCUCCACCAAAGGAAUACGCAUCGUGGGCAGGGCAGAAAUCCAACUGCUCAGGUUGGCCAUGGCAGUAUCUAUGGGCAUCUUUGUCGAAUCAGGGCAUAGCUCCCUGCCCAUCCAACGAACUUAACUCCAUCACGUCUCAGCUUACCAAUGGUGGAAUAUCAACUCAAUAGAAUACUACACAGCUAUGAAGAAAGAUGAAAUAGUGGCAUUUGGGGAAAAUGGAUGGACUUUGAGUGAUUCUGUGUGUAUGCCUAUGUUUCUUUAUUUCCUCCAUUGCUUUUGGAUCAGAAGAAGAUUGUUGCUGAGAGGGUUGAAUUCCUCUUGGAAUUGGCAGGGAAUGUUUUCCAGGGUAUCUUAAAAGCAAAAAAACAAGAUUCAAGUCUGUGUAAGAAAGUCACAGGAGUAUGUCCAAAAGGAUGAAUGUCAAUGAAACUGAGUCCCAGAAGGACCCUUGACCUCUCAGUUCAAGACUUAACUGAUGGUCAUCUCACAAGAAGAUCUACUCUUCACGUCUGGGAUUCAGAGUUUAGUUCAUAUAUCAUCAAUCAAGUGCCUAAUGUGUACCAGGCACUGUGCUUGGUGCUGGAAAUACAGAGAUGAAAAUGCAGUUCGUACUCUGGGAGUUCAGAGUCUAGGAAGGAACACAAAUGAGAAGCAGAGUUCCAAGGCAAUGGAUUAAGUCUCAAUAAUGAGCACAUACGUUUGUUAGUUGGGAUGUCUGGACCCAUCAGUCUGCAUUUGGGGGCAUCUCCACUGGAAACUGAAUUUAUGUAUGAAGAAUUCUAUACUUCAAUCAAGAAAUUAUUGGUUAGAAACCAAUGACUCCUUCAGCUUUCCCUUCCCUACACUCAGGCUAAUGCUACAAGCCAGGGAAUAUGGUGCCUAAAGCAGGAAAACUAAUAGUUGUACACAAAACGAAUUAGCUAAAAGUGAAGACUUGGCUUUCAGUAAACCUUUUUUCAACCAUUUGAUUGAAAGAAACUAUAGGUAAGUCCAUUAAGUCUCUUCAAAUGAACGGUUUAACUCCUGCCUUCCUGACUUCUUGAUUCUUGUAGUGAUCUGCAUUGUGAAAUCUCUGUCCCUCACUUAAAGUGUGCCUGUUCAAACCUAGGACAGUGAUCACAUCCCAGAAGACACUCUUUCUACAGGGAGGGGAGGGUGUUCCUUGUGGCUAAUUUGCCCAUGGCCAUAAGAAGGGGCAGCCUGAUGCAGCCUCCUUAAGAUCAGGAAGCCCCUUUGUUUACAAGGCAGAAGACCAACAUCUGAAGAACUAUACCCAAGAGGAAGGCACAAGAAAAGGAGCAGAGUAUCCAAUGGCUCCCUAUUUUCCCAGGUGCUUUUCACAUCCUCAGGAACUCCAAGGAUGCCAAGCUACUGUCAGCCUUCCAGUACAGGGUAUAGGAAAGACUCCAGAAUGGAGCAAAACAUUGAAUCAUAGAAAGGGAAAGGAUUCUCACAAGGUGACCCUCAUCUUCGUGGAAACAUCAAGGACAUUUAGGGGUACGUAAGAAAAAUUCCUUCUGUAUUUUAAGGCUGGGACUCAUCUUCCUUUCACUCAACAUGUAGUUAGGUUCAGUGCAAUGGAAGUAUUUCCACAGAGAGCAAUAAAGAGCCAGAAAGAACCCCCUUAGGGAUGAGCAGUC